GAUCAUGGCUCAGGAUGAACGCUAGCUACAGGCUUAACACAUGCAAGUCGAGGGGCAUCAGUUUGGUUUGCUUGCAAACCAAAGCUGGCGACCGGCGCACGGGUGAGUAACACGUAUCCAACCUGCCUCAUACUCGGGGAUAGCCUUUCGAAAGAAAGAUUAAUAUCCGAUAGCAUAUAUUUCCCGCAUGGGUUUUAUAUUAAAGAUUUAUCGGUGAUGGAUGGGGAUGCGU
rnacentral:rRNA from 1 species